rnacentral:rRNA from 1 species
GAUGAACGCUGGCGGCGUGCCUAAUACAUGCAAGUCGAGCGAACAGACGAGGAGCUUGCUCCUCUGACGUUAGCGGCGGACGGGUGAGUAACACGUGGAUAACCUACCUAUAAGACUGGGAUAACUUCGGGAAACCGGAGCUAAUACCGGAUAAUAUAUUGAACCGCAUGGUUCAAUAGUGAAAGACGGUUUUGCUGUCACUUAUAGAUGGAUCCGCGCCGCAUUAGCUAGUUGGUAAGGUAACGGCUUACCAAGGCGACGAGGCGUAGCCGACCUGAGAGGGUGAUCGGCCACACUGGAACUGAGACACGGUCCAGACUCCUACGGGAGGCAGCAGUAGGGAAUCUGCCGCAAUGGGCGAAAGCCUGACGGAGCAACGCCGCGUGAGUGAUGAAGGUCUUCGGAUCGUAAAACUCUGUUAUUAGGGAAGAACAAAUGUGUAAGUAACUAUGCACGUCUUGACGGUACCUAAUCAGAAAGCCACGGCUAACUACGUG